rnacentral:rRNA from 1 species
GUAGGGAAUAUUGGACAAUGGGCGAAAGCCUGAUCCAGCCAUGCCGCGUGAUAGAUGAAGGCCCUCUGGGUUGUAAAUAUCUUUUAUCUGGGAAGAAACUCCUCUAUUCUUAGAGGCCUGACGGUACCAGAGGAAUAAGCACCGACUAACUCCGUGCCAGCAGCCGCGGUAAUACGGAGGGUGCAAGCGUUAUCCGGAUUCACUGGGUUUAAAGGGUGCGUAGGCGGGUUGAUAAGUCAGUGGUGAAAGCUCCGGGCUUAACUUGGAAACUGCCAUUGAUACUGUCAAUCUUGAAUGUCGUAGAGGUAAGCGGAAUGUUGCAUGUAGCGGUGAAAUGCUUAGAUAUGUUACAGAACACCAAUUGCGAAGGCAGCUUACUAUGCGAUAAUUGACGCUGAGGCACGAAAGCGUGGGGAGCAAACAGGAUUAGAUACCCCGGUAGUCC